AGUAACCAGCAGGUAGCCUAGUGAUUAGAGCGUUAGACUAGUAACCAGCAGGUAGCCUAGUGAUUAGAGCGUUAGACUAGUAACCAGCAGGUAGCCUAGUGAUUAGAGCGUUAGACUAGUAACCAGCAGGUAGCCUAGUGAUUAGAGCGUUGGACUAGUAACCAGCAGGUAGCCUAGUGAUUAGAGCGUUAGACUAGUAACCAGCAGGUAGCCUAGUGAUUAGAGCGUUAGACUAGUAACCAGCAGGUAGCCUAGUGAUUAGAGCGUUAGACUAGUAACCAGCAGGUAGCCUAGUGAUUAGAGCGUUAGACUAGUAACCAGCAGGUAGCCUAGUGAUUAGAGCGUUAGACUAGUAACCAGCAGGUAGCCUAGUGAUUAGAGCGUUAGACUAGUAACCAGCAGGUAGCCUAGUGAUUA